UACGUAGGUGGCAAGCGUUGUCCGGAUUUACUGGGCGUAAAGCGCCCGCAGGCGGCUUGUUAAGUUCAAGGUGAAAUCUCCCGGCUUAACUGGGAGGGUGCCUCGAAAACUGGCAGGCUUGAGGUGAGGAGAGGGAUGCGGAAUUCCCGGUGUAGUGGUGAAAUGCGUAGAUAUCGGGAGGAACACCAGUGGCGAAGGCGACUACCUGGCCUGUUCUUGACGCUGAGGCGCGAAAGCUGGGGGAGCAAACGGG
rnacentral:rRNA from 1 species